UACGUAGGGUGCGAGCGUUUGUCCGGAAUUAUUGGGCGUAAAGGGCUCGUAGGCGGUUUGUCGCGUCGGGAGUGAAAACUCAGGGCUUAACCCUGAGCCUGCUUCCGAUACGGGCAGACUAGAGGUAUGCAGGGGAGAACGGAAUUCCUGGUGUAGCGGUGAAAAUGCGCAGAUAUCAGGAGGAACACCGGUGGCGAAGGCGGUUCUCUGGGCAUUACCUGACGCUGAGGAGCGAAAGUGUGGGGAGCGAACAGG
rnacentral:rRNA from 1 species